rnacentral:lncRNA from 1 species
GAGUGAGUCAAGGGAAGAAGAAAAUCUUCAUAAUAUUCAUUGAAAAUGGUCCAAAACCGUGCACCAAGCAAGCACCCAUGAGAGCAUGUUCAAAACAAGAGAAACCCUAGAAGAAAGAAGCAAAAACCAUGAGCUAUGGGUCUCUCCUUUGUGUGGCUCGGUUUUCACACCCCAAAUACCAAGAGUUUCACAUUUGGUGGGGUCCACACACUACAAGUCAGCCCUAAAGAGAUGCCACAUGGCCCCCACAAUUAGUUUUUUACAAAAAUGCCCCUAAAAGGGUCCAAAACACCUAAUUCUAAUCAAGGGCUUCUAGAAAACGAAAUUACAACUUUAAUU